rnacentral:rRNA from 1 species
GAUCAUGGCUCAGAUUGAACGCUGGCGGCAGGCCUAACACAUGCAAGUCGAACGGUAACAGGAAGCAGCUUGCUGCUUCGCUGACGAGUGGCGGACGGGUGAGUAAUGUCUGGGAAACUGCCUGAUGGAGGGGGGAUAACUACUGGAAACGGUAGCUAAUACCGCAUAACGUCGCAAGACCAAAGAGGGGGGACCUUCGGGCCGUCUUGCCAUCGGAUGUGCCCACGAUGGGAUUAG